rnacentral:rRNA from 1 species
UACGGAGGGUGCGAGCGUUGUCCGGAAUCACUGGGCGUAAAGGGCGCGUAGGCGGCCUGAUAAGUAGGGGGUGAAAUCCUGCGGCUUAACCGCAGGGCUGCCUUCUAAACUGUCAGGCUAGAGCACAGUAGAGGCAGGUGGAAUUCCCGGUGUAGCGGUGGAAUGCGUAGAGAUCGGGAAGAACAUCAGUGGCGAAGGCGGCCUGCUGGGCUGUUGCUGACGCUGAGGCGCGACAGCGUGGGGAGCAAACAGGG